rnacentral:lncRNA from 1 species
GCGGGAGCUGAGCGGAGUGGCCUUGCCACCGGAGGGGAAGGGCUGCUGGCGUUAGGCCUGGCUGGGUCGUGCGGCUGAGCGUGAGGCUAGAAAGAAAAAGCGAUCCUCCAAGAGUGAGAACGGGAGAUCUGCCGAGGAUAACAACCUCCCUUGUGGCCGAAGGGCGGGGGAUCCCCACACGAGGGCUCCGCUUCGAGAGACGGCGACAAAGGAAAGUUCGUAGCGCGUUCCGGAGGCCCGGCCACCUCUGAGAAGGGAGACGACGCUGCUGGGUCCGCUGAGCGGGGCGACCCGAGUCUUCUCAUUCACAGGUUAAGGCUACCUUUCCAGAUAAUCCAACAGCUAAAUCACCAGUUUCCAAGGGCAUUUGCAUCACCUAUGGAAAGCAUCGGAUCCUUAUACACCAGAUGUUCUUGACAGCUCAUCCCGUCAUUCCCCCCUGCACAAAAGUUGCUAUACCAGCGGACAAGCAAGACAACUACUGAGCUUCUUUUGAUUGUCAAGUAGAUAUAAUAUCACUGCCAGCAAAACAGCACAAAAAGUGUCUCUUCACAGUAUCACUACCAGUUGGGACUAUGCUAAGUAAAUCAGCUUGCCUAGAUGAGGACCCCUUCUAUUCUUGGGUAGCCAGGAUUUGAAGGAGAUACUCUGACCUGUGCCAGUGGUAAGUGACUAAUACUUUUACACACUGAACUGGUCCUGGAAACUGAGAUGUCUUCUUUGUAAGUGAAGAAUAUACAACAUAAUCUUGAAGAACGGCACAGUGGUAUGGGCCACAAGCAUACUUUAUGUGUGUAACGGACUGAAAGACAAAUUAAUCUUGGUGAAAGGAUUUUUCAUCUCUUAUUUCUAUUUGCCAGUGUUAGUCAGUGUUCUGCUGGCUUAGAUUAUUACCUUUUUCUGGUUCCUUACUGUGUUUUAUUCUGAUGGGUCCUAGAAAUCCCUCUCCUGACCACUUGUCAGAAUCAGAAAGUGAGGAAGAAGAAAAUAUUAGUUACCUAAAUGAGAGUUCUGGGGAAGAGUGGGAUUCCUCUGAAGAAGAGGACUCUAUGGUGCCCAACUUAUCGCCUCUUGAGAGUCUUGCCUGGCAGGUUAAGUGCCUUUUAAAAUAUUCCACAACUUGGAAACCUUUAAAUCCUAAUUCCUGGUUGUAUCAUGCUAAACUGUUGGAUCCAAGCACACCAGUCCAUAUACUUCGAGAGAUAGGUCUAAGACUCUCCCAUUGUUCCCAUUGUGUCCCCAAACUGGAACCAAUUCCUGAAUGGCCCCCUCUGGCCUCUUGUGGAGUCCCACCUUUUCAAAAGCCUCUUACAAGUCCCAGCCGGCUCUCUAGAGAUCAUGCCACUCUAAAUGGAGCACUGCAAUUUGCCACCAAACAGCUAAGCCGAACAUUGAGUAGAGCCACUCCCAUACCUGAAUACCUAAAACAGAUCCCUAAUUCAUGUGUUUCUGGGUGUUGCUGUGGCUGGCUGACUAAAACAGUUAAGGAAACAACUCGUACUGAACCCAUCAACACUACUUAUUCUUACACUGACUUCCAAAAGGCAGUUAACAAACUCCUAACUGCAUCACUGUAAAGAUCUACCAUUUGCUCUGAUAUCUCUGAUGUUGCUAAUUGAGAAAGUGGUACAAAGUUAGUCAUUACACAGCCCACUAAUGCCUUCUCAGUCAAACUCUCUUAUGCCCUGGCAAGCCAAUGAGGAUACCCUUUGACAAACCCUGUGGAUAAAAUGAUAAUAUCAAGGUCAGGCAUGGUGGCUCACACCUGUAAUCCCAGCACUUUGGGAGGCUGAGGCGGGUGGAUCUGCUGAAGUCAGAAGUUUGAGACCAGCCUUGCCAACACAGUGAAACCCUGUCUCUACU